AAUGCGUAGAUAUAUGGAAGAACACCAGUGGCGAAGGCGGCUGUCUGGUCUGUAACUGACGCUGAGGCUCGAAAGUAUGGGUAGCAAACAGGAUUAGAUACCCUGGUAGUCCAUACCGUAAACGAUGAAUGCUAAGUGUUGGAGGGUUUCCCCCUUCAGUGCUGCAGCUAACGCAUUAAGCAUUCCGCCUGGGGAGUACGGCCGCAAGGCUGAAACUCAAAGGAAUUGACGGGGGCCCGCACAAGCGGUGGAGCAUGUGGUUUAAUUCGAAGCUACGCGAAGAACCUUACCAGGUCUUGACAUACUAUGCAAAUCUAAGAGAUUAGACGUUCCCUUCGGGGACAUGGAUACAGGUGGUGCAUGGUUGUCGUCAGCUCGUGUCGUGAGAUGUUGGGUUAAGUCCCGCAACGAGCGCAACCCUUAUUAUCAGUUGCCAGCAUUAAGUUGGGCACUCUGGUGAGACUGCCGGUGACAAACCGGAGGAAGGUGGGGAUGACGUCAAAUCAUCAUGCCCCUUAUGACCUGGGCUACACACGUGCUACAAUGGAUGGUACAACGAGUUGCGAACUCGCGAGAGUAAGCUAAUCUCUUAAAGCCAUUCUCAGUUCGGAUUGUAGGCUGCAACUCGCCUACAUGAAGUCGGAAUCGCUAGUAAUCGCGGAUCAGCAUGCCGCGGUGAAUACGUUCCCGGGCCUUGCACACACCGCCCGUCACACCAUGAGAGUUUGUAACACCCAAAGUCGGUGGGGUAACCUUUAGGAACCAGCCGCCUAAGGUGGGACAGAUGAUUAGGGUGAAGUCGUAACAAGGUAACCAAGGGCGAAUCG
rnacentral:rRNA from 1 species